AUCCAUCAAUGCAUGCAGAGACUUAGAAUGAAAUUGCCAUCUCAACCAUAGCUAGAACAAACACAGCUGAUGAAUAAAUGUAUAUUGGCUAGAAUAAAUACAAAGUGUAAUGCCAGAUGUGGACAGUGCAGAAUGCAGGAAGGCAGUAAACUGAGUAAACAUCAAAUGAGGGAUUAGCCUUAAUUGAGAGGAAUCAAUUUCAAUGAGAAACAGAACUUGGGAUCUCUUUUGCCCAAAAGCAGUUGAGGUACCUUUCUAGCUAGAAGAGAAGCUGCCUGAUCUGUCACUGCUUUCCCAUUUGAGGCUCGUCAGCAACAACCUGCUGCAUAUAACAUACAGUUCAGAGGCUGCCUUUACUUCUGACUAUCUCUGGCAGGGUUGUAGGCUUUGCAGCCCAGAAAACUUGGUUUGCAGCUUUUGUCUGAUUUUCUAGAAUGCACCUUUAUAUUCUCCAUAAAUAUCCAUAAGACCUUCUGCAGCAACAACCCCUGCAAUGCAAUCACACAGGGUGUCUCUUUGUCAGUGGUAGGAAGUAUGUUUUUAUAUUUCAGUCUCUCACAAAGUCCAAAUAACUAUAAUGGAGUCUUCUGGAGUUAGUUGUUCAGAAGCAAUGUUUUUGUAGUUCAGAUGAGACACUUCACACAGAUGUGUCGAUUCCCUGUGUUUGUGUGCUUCUCAAAGUGUUUAGGCUUUCCAGAUUCUUUAAAAAAGAUACUUCCAGUCCUUUUCCUACUAAGGUAACACUUGAAAAUAUAAAGCAAUUAUAAAGCCUAGUUGUGCAUUGGACAUUCACACUCCUCAAACCCACCAAAACUAUGGUUACUCUUCUGCUGCCUCUCAGAGGUCUACUGUGUCCCAUGAAACUUAGAGUGAUGCACCCUAAAACCUUCUUAUAUAUUGUUGUGCAGCUUUAUUGUAAGUAAGCAUGGGAUUCACCUCACAGAUUAAGACACCAGUGCUCAGAGGCUUGAUUUAGUUGCCCACAUGUGGGAGUCCAGCACUAUUUGAAAUGCUCAAGUCUUCCAUCUGGACUCCAGCUGCUGCUCUGUAUUGGUAAAGAAGUCCCAUACGUGGUGUGCUAUCCUUACCAGCCCUGCAUGGGUUUCUUGGACACCCAAUUGCACCUCAGAUUACACCAGUUGUAGUCAGUGGGCAUCUAAUCAGUACACUCAGAGGAGUCUCCAGGGAGUGUCUAACGAGCUGCCCAAAUGUACGUGUCUACUUUUGAGUCAGUCGAAUGGCUUCGUAGCCUUUGACCACUAACUCACAAAUUGACACCUACAGAUAGACACUAAAAUUUUUUCUCUUAUUCCAGGAGCUAAUUGCCACCCUACAUGUCAUUUGUUUGCUAUACCAUGCCUUUCUGGAAUGUCCUGCACACCCAGCACAGGGAGGAAGUGCUGAACUGAACUGGAAAGCUGUUACGUUGGUCUACAGACAGGCCAAUGCAUACCCAACUGUGCACCCACUCCUGUGCCGUGUGACACCCUGCUGGUUCUCAGACGUUGUGCUUAUUUGGAACUUUUUGUCUGUUCAUCAGCUUCUGGUGUUGCUGCCAUUAGUAAGCAGCCCUGGCACCGGUACCCGGGCUCUGCUAUGGUUGCAGUUAACGUGGGUAGAUCAGCUAAAUGCAAGUAAACUCAAGGAUCUUCUCGUUGACACACCUCUGACUGUUAGCCGAGUGAUCAGUUGGAGACUGGCUAAGGUUUCUAAGGUGACAUGAAAUUAAGCAAGUUGCAAAACAUGUAAACAAACUAUAAAGAAGAGAAAGUAGGGGCUUGCUAACUGAUCCAGCUGCAAGUUCCAGACUGAUGCAUAACUUGCCAACAUGAAGAUCACUGCAGGAUCAGGUCUUAUGAAGGAAGCACUCCCUCUUCUCUUAAUGACAGCAUCAUUAGUAGUGCAGGUAUAUAGAUCUUUUAAACUAAUAGUGCAACAGAUUGUUCCUGCUGCACUUAACAAGCAGUUCAGUAUAACAGCCACAAGCUAAAAUAUUUGCAAGUUCGUGAACUUCAAAGCAAACUUUGCUUCUUUCUAAAGAGACUUACAAACAACUAGGCAUAUUUUCUCCCACUUCAUCUUUAAAGAAAUUACAAAAGAAUAUAUACAGCAGGCCUGAAAUUCCUGCCAGUCCUUCAUCUCAAUUUUCUUGGCAUAUUGAGAAGGAAUCUGGAUGCUGAAAUUUACUGUUAAUGAGUACCUUAUUUUAUGGAUGUGUUCUUGUUCUGUGCACUAAUGCUUAUGUGAACUGUUUGUGUUCUUAUGGAGGGCCAAAAAAGCCACCUAGAAGAGAAAUGCUGAAGUAACCAGUGAAAUAUUUUACUACUUCGUUGGGUGUUUUUUUACUUUGGAAAGUAUGGGUGGUCAUUAAUUGAGCUAAAUUUCUUUAUUGAUUUAUGUAUCAGUUGAUUAUUAUUUUAAUUCUACAAAUUAUCUGCAGUCUUCAGUUCAAGGGCUAGACAACCGCGGGAAAAAUCGGUCUCCUGUGGCUUGUGAUGGAUUAAAUGUAGAGGCAGCAAAUAUUAAGGAGCUGUUGGUCAAUGCAAACAAAAGCUGCAGGUAGUAGUUUGAUUGGAAACAAUGAUGUAGAUGAAGUGUAUCUAAACACAACGUCAAGUGUAAAGCAAGAAUGUAAAGAAGUGGCAAGGACAGCAACUCCAGAAUGGAACAGAUGAGGGGAAGCUGAAAACACUUGCCUAGAAAUGAAAGAAAACCAAACCCCACCAGCAGUAGGCAGGAAGGAUUAAAAGAAGUAAGAUAAAAAAUAGAAAUGCUAUACACUUACUGCUGAUUUCCAAGAAUCACCAAGUGACUGUUGUUGAAAGCUGGACUAAAAGCAAAGGAGGUGAAAAGCUGGAGGACUUUUUGAGGGGAGAGUAAAAGAAUGUGUCUGCCCAUUGAAAGACAACCAUUUCUGCUGGUUUCAUCAGAACAGAAUUGAACCCUCUGUGAGCUAUGGAGAAAAAAAAUCAAUGCUUUUAUCUUGUUGUGGUCCUAAAUUUAUAUGUGAUUCAUAUGAUGUUUUACAUUCUGUAAAUUGAGUUUUUAUACUUAGGAAAAUUUUACAGGACUGAAGACUCUGCAGUGUCUUUUCUCGUUCCUUCACUGGUAACAGCAGCAUAGUCUUCUCCAUACUUUGUGCUUUAGUGCCUUAAACCCCAAGUACUUCUAGCUGGGAAAAUGCUCUAGCCUCUAUGUCUGUUAGCUCAUGUCCUCUUCUGAGGGCCUAGCAAAGCUGUUCUUCGUGUUGGAGAUUUUUUUCCAGUUCAUUAGUAAAACUGGAAUUAACUGAUUAACUUGCUGCACCAAAUCCCUGAGUAGAUGUGAAGUAGAUGCUGUUUCAUGCAGGGUGGGAUGCAGUGAGCAAGGCUGUAAAGGAUUCUGCCUUCCUUUACAAACUCCUGUGAGUCUGAUUCCAACCAAACUUAUGUGUUCAUUUGUUUUCAUUCAUUACAACUUUAAUAAGUGUAAUAGAGGAGCAAAGUGUCUCUAACUCCUGGGAGAAGGGGAAGGGUAUUUUUUUCCUGUCUCAUGUAGUGUCACUAAGUCAAACCGCCCAUGCCACGAGUUCAGAAGUUGCAGUGAAAGCACUGUUACUUACAGGAAUGCAAGAAGGAGCUGGAAUACAGGUUUCCACCUGCAAGCAUAGGUCUCGUUGGCUGAGGAGACAGAUUUACCUCUUCAGUUCCUCCUCACCCUCUCGCAAUUAGAGCAGAGCUACAUGCGAGCAGGGCUGGGCAGCUCUGACUGAGGAAUAAAUACCAUGCUGACAAGGUGCCAGCAUCCCAUUUCAGACCAGCAGCCUUUCCCCUCCAUCAGCAUUACCUUUGGCAUACAUCUCCAAGGGUUUAUAGCUAGGUGGCAGACAGGGAGAUAUGACAUCGCAAUCUCAGAAUAUUAGGUCUAGUGAUCUUGUAAAUACUUUGUGUGAGCUAUUCACGGAGGUGAAUGUUUGUAUACUGGGUUAAAACACUUUCAAGCACGAUUGCAUUGUUCUUCAUAGUAGCCUAUAGGAAGAAGCAAGCAGGGGAGACGCAUAAUACCUAGAUAAUAGAUAAGCAAUCCCUUUGCAAAUAUUAGGGAAGCAAUUGCAACACAAUGCCAUACAUCCAUGCUCCAGGCUGCAUUUGAACAGCUAUUCUGCCUGAGUUGGGAAUAAAGAGGUCUAAAGUGCAUUGAAUAGUUAAAAAACUCUUUCCAAGAAAGGAUGAGAUCAGUUGUCAGUAGGUGUCCCAGACACAGAGAAUGCCCAGCUUCUUUAGCAUCUGUCCUCAGAGACUCCGAGCAAGUGCAUCUUCCUCAUGAGCACUGAGGAUUUGUCUCCCCUCCCCCUGCCCUCCUCUGCUCUCCAAGGGGCAAGUCAACAUCUCAGCUCUUUGCUAUGCAGGAGGGCUUGGUUUUAACCAGCUCAGAAACUCUGCUGCCUGGAGAGGAGUGCCGCCGCGGAGACAGCAUGUGUGAUUUCUUGAGGAUGCUGAUCACAUUUCCUCUUCAUAACUGCCUGGUGCCGAAGGGCAUGCGGAAAAUCUUGGUAGAAACCAUCCAUUUGGUGUGCGAGGCUGCCACAGCGGCCUGCCGCAGCAGGACUUAGUAACCAGGACUUGAAACUCGCCUGGGCUUUGCUCUCAGUUCCACAUUUUUGCUGCAGCAGGCCUAGUAUCACUUCACAGGAUGGGGUCCUGUCUGAAUUAAGAGGGACCAGAGAGGCCCAUAGGUAGCGUGGUAUUUGUCUUUGCUCUGUAUGUCCUUGCUCGAACAGUUAACAUUGCGUUAGGUGGUAGGAACUUUAGUUAACUUGAAAGCUAAGUCUGGACAAAUGGAGUGGGCUGACUCUGACUCAGCAGCUGUUUUUCAUGGAUAGGUAAAACAAAGUCAUUACGGGAAGGGUUUUCUUUUGCAUAAUCUAGUAUACAAGUUCCAUAUGUUCUUUGCAAUGUUUCUUUGCAGAUGUUGUUUCUUCUUGCAUUUCUUUCUAUUUCUAUACAAAGAUUUUUUUUCCCAAAUUGCCCUAAGUAUUUUAAGGAUGUUGUACAUGCUCAUCAAGUGCUUCUUUAUUCUUCAUGGGACUCUUGUCAUGCAUCCCAGGACAGGUUUGGAUGCACUCAGGGUAAUGUUUCUGAGUAACUGUGCUGGUGGAGCUGUCACUGUGCCUUACAGCUGUCUAGCCUUCCGGAAUUAAAUGUAUAGAAGGAAUAUCCUGAGAUGAGGACCUUUGUAUCCUUAAAUAUGAGAGGCUUAAAGAUGUUAGGAUUAUUAAAGACAUGUUUGUUUGGCUAGUCCCUCUAAUAAUGGAUACUUCUGAGAUAAUUCACCCAUGAGAAGCGCACGUGUCCUACCAGUAGUUUUGUUGCUCCUGUUCCAAAUAAGUAACAAAUGCAUCUUGAGAAUCAUGACGGUGCACCUUACUGCACUAAGCACAGACAAGAAUACUUUUUCCCAGGAACUAAUCCAGCACAGAUUCUGUCACCUGGUUAUAAUGCAGCAUCUAGUUGAGGUAUCAGUGACUAUAGGUGGUCCCACAUCUCUCAGGGGGUUGUCUUAUACCCAGUUGGAGCUCCCCCAUAAGACAACCCUUAAUUGUUGCUCACUAAUAAAGUGUGUCUUUUAUUACUGGAGACACUAUGAAAUAUUUGUGUCAGAUGAGAAUAAGAAAUCUCACAGUUUCUGCUGCAAGCUGUUCCUGGUUCUCUGUGACUUGGUCUUAUGCUCCAUCUACCUUUAGACAGCUUUACUUUGAAUAGCAGGUGCGUGUUUGAUACCAGUUUUGGCAGAGCAGUCCUGCAGUCAUUGUUUUAAGUGGAAUGAGUGCUGAGCUCUAGGAUCUGAGUGAUGGCUGAGUGACAUUCACAGGAUGUAAAAUAGAACUUGGGAAUGGCACUAACUGGGUCAGACCAAUGUCCAGCUGCCCAUGUGUUCUGUCUCCAAAAGCAGAAACAGGAGAUGUUAUUUAGGGAGACCGUACUAGCCUGGCCACUUUCUGUAGUCCAUUCCCCUUGACUUCCCCAGCACCCAGAGCAGUUGUAUUAGGGAUGUUAGUGUGUAGCCCUGCUUAGCCCUUUCAGUAUCUGCUUAUGGACUCUUGGUCCAUCAAGUUACCUCAUUUUUUUUAUGAUCCUACAGACACAGUCUUCCUCCACAGCCUUCUGCAUCGGCAAGUUCCAGAAGUUCACUAGGUGCUGUGUAAAGAGCUCCUGUUACCUCUUUUAAAUCGAUCUCCUACUGGUUUCAUCAAGUGACCCCUAGUUCUAGUAUUGCAAAAGUUGUUGAAGAGUUCUGCUUUCAGCUUUUCUGCCACCUUCAUGAUUGUAUAAACCUUACUUAUAUUCCCUCUCUCAGCUAUCUUCUCUUCAAAUUGAAGCCCUAAUCUUUUCUAGUUGCUCAUUCCUUCUUAGAGCAACUGCUGUAUCCCUUUGACUGUUUUAGUUGCCCUUCUCUGGACAUGCAGUAACUCUACUACAUCCGUCUCAAAAUGCUGGGACCAGCACUGUGAAGAGUACUUAAGAUUUGAGAGGGAUGCCACAGACAGUUUGUCUAAGAAGAGUCUUUAGUCACUUGCCCCAUAAACCCACUGUAACUCUGAUCCUGAGUCAUUGUCCAUUUGUAAGCCAUACUGCUUCCUUCUGAGUUACAGAGUUGAAUGGAUGUUAUGCUAGGGUGCAGGAGGGGGAUCGUGUAUGCCGUAUCUUUCUGCUUUCCAAUCUAAAAUGCCAGAGUCUGCCACGACACAGUGUUAACUCAUACAAAAAAAAGUAUUGGGAUACAUCCAGACCAGAAGCGGAAUACAUAUUGACAAACCAUCUCAAAAAUCUACACUAACUAUAAGUAACUAACUAUACUCUUCUCUUUAGUCAGUAUAUGUCUAACCUUACACAUGUAUAAUGAUACCUGUUUUUAUAGAUCAUAUUUGUUCAAUACAUUAUUACUAGGGGAAAAGCGUAGUUUUCCAAUAAAGCUACCUCGUGUUGUCAUAUCAAGGCAGUCUCUACAUAUUCAUUGCAGAUGGCGUAUUACAGAAAUAAACUAUCUUAUAUUUAUUCUUCAACAAAUAUUGAACCAUUGCUGUUAAAGCAAAGUUCAGAUCCAUACAUCUGAUGAACUGAAGGAAACUGUUAGAACAUAGUUGCCAUUAACACAGUCUCUCUUUAGCAAUCUUUUGCAUUGAUGGAUUUACCAUUUUGUGGUUAAACAAUUUUUCCUCCUGGAAUAUUUCUAAAACCACUUUCUGAUAGAAAUCAGGAAAAUUGAAGUUCAUCUUGUACAUCACUACUUUGGACAGCUCUAUCUGGAGAAAAAUAAAUAUAGCAGAUAUAAAUGAAAAGAAAAGGGGACAAAACAAUCUGAGCUGGAAAGAGAAGAGUGCAAGUUUAUUUUAUUUCCUUGGUUGUGUAGGAGUCUUGUUAACCAGUAUGUAAUGCAUAGUCAUGUAAUAAAACAUGCUAGACAUUAAAAGGCAAAAACCCAGUUCACAGAUGUUGUAACGUUAUGAGAUAAUUUUAGGGAGUGAAUGGGGUGAAAAGGCUGGAUUUGUUAGAGAGGAAAAUACCUAUGGAGGCCUUUUCUGUGAGCAAUACCAUGACUUCAUUACCAUGUCAAUUCUGGGAAAAGGCUCUGAUUUAACACAGCAGUUGGCUGGAUCCAUAUGGAGCUGAUGAACCUCUGAAUGAAUAGUGAAUGGAAAAACUGCUGGAAUCUGCCUUCAGCUUUGUUCCCAGGAUGACCAAUGUAAAAGGCCUAAGAGCAAUACUGCACAGAUGGUGUAAAGAGGUAAACUUCUGAUUUCAUGAAAGCUGCAUUUCAAAGGGGUCCGAAGUGCCUGUACUGCUGUACCAAAGGGUCUCCACCACCUCUGCUGUUGAACACAAGACCUCGCUGUUUCUGUGAGUGUGGCCAGAUUAACUCCUAUGAGGCUGCACUGAAAAUCCCAGUUUGCAAGGAGGGGGUACUGUUCAUCCAAAAUAACAAGCAACAACAACAAAAAAUCCUACUGAGCGUGCUUAGUGGGACCUGCUAAGGCUUUUGUCAGGAACUAAUGACUUUGACCUCACUGUCCGAUCCCUCAGCAUAGAGAUACACAACUGCUUUAUUAUUUGCUGAGCUCCGGGAGAGUACUUGGUCCUGUACAGAUAUACAAGGAGAAAAUGCUACUGCCCCAUGGAGCCUACAAUAGACUUGGCUGAGUGAGACAAUAGGUAUUGAGCUGUGUGAAAUACACGGGUUGAAUAUUCACGUUUCUUAUUAACGGAGAUUAAAAAAUCUCUCUAUAGCAUUAUGAUUAAGAUGCUUUGUGGGAGAAAUGCACUGCAAGUGAAUGAAAAAUGAGGAGAAAAGUAACUUGGUGAAUAACGAAAGAGAGAGCAAAGCCUAAAAGAGGGGGGGCAGAAAGAUGAGAAUGGGAGGAGGAUUCAUGUGGGGCAUUUUAGAGAUAGCUUGGAAGGAGGGAGGAGAGGUUGAGAAACUUGUGCUUUUUGACAGAUAUGAUAGAGGUAGGGAAGGGAGUAGUAAAGGAAGAUAAGCGGGUACAGAACAAAGCACAGCAGUGAUUUUAGCAUUGUGAUUUGUACUGGGAGAUGUGGUUGGUUGCAUAACUGGGGAAAAUGAUGACUACUGAUGUCUGGGGAUGCAGAAAAGAUGGAGAGGUGAAGACGAGCUGGUGAAGAAUAAAACUGCAUAAGGUGUAGUUUCAAGAGUCUAUGAAGUACAGGAGAUUGGAUAUCUUUUUUUUGAGAAAAGAGAACUGUUAGUGAUAAAGGAAAUUCAGAGGUUGAUGCUAUGAUAUUGUAGGAACAGGUGAUGUGAAAUUUCAGUGAAAGGGGAAGAAGAACUGAGAUAAAAGGCUGGGUUUGGAAGCGUGUAAAUGAAAAUGUGGCAACCAUUUCAGGAGCUGCCAUUCAUUAAUUAACUAAUUUAUUAGUUGGCUUUAAGCUCGGUCAGACUUUCUCUAAAGCUGGAAGAUUCAGCCACGCCUUUUCCUUAGAAGUAAAGUAGGAAAAAUCUCCUACUGAAAAUUUUUUUAUUAAAUUUUUUAAUGGAAGAUAACUUUUUUCCUCUGUUGCUCAAAGGUUUUGCUAAAAUUGAAGGCCCUGAUCGAUAAGACGUUGAGGAUUCUGCAUCUUUGCAAGCACAUGCAGUAAGAAGGCAUCUUAAAAUCCAUUUCUUCUUGUGAAAGAUGAACCACAAUGGCUGACAAAAUCAUAGCCACAAGGCAUACUUGAGGUGGCAUUCUGGGCCGGAAAACCAUCUUGCAGUGCUGCAUAGGCUUAGCCUGAAAAGCAGACAUUGGUAUCCUCUUUCUGUGAGUAUUGAUGGAUUAUUUUGGGGGAGACUGGGGCCCACAUCCUCAAAAGUAGGUAAGUACCACGUGCGAUGGAAUUCAAGAAGAACUGGGCAGCUGGAUAGCUAUGAGGAUCCCACUUUGCAUUUCCAAUUAUGCAAAGUCCUAAGAAUACCUGCAGGAUUUUGAAAGUUCACAAGCUCUGUUACAUUUAAUGAUAAAGGAAGUAGUUUUGCAAUUUUUAAGUGUAGCGCAUUAGCUGUCACUAGUGCAAGAUAAUACUAGAUGAAAGUUUGCUUUCUAGCUGAGCAAUAGGUUUUGUAGAGAGGAAAGUCUAACGCACUGAAAUGAGUGAAGAAAGGGGCUAUUUCUGUGUUUCGGAGCUACAGGUUAUUUUAGUCCAUUAUUGUACCAAUAUCAGAUAAAUAAGAUUGGUCAUGUAAUAAUAAAAACAGGUUUUGUUUUUAUUAAGAAGCAUGUAUUUUCCACAUUUUUCCUGGAAGGCUACUAAGAUCUUCCAUCCCAUGUUCGGUAUGUGCACAUUUGUAAAUCAGGCAUGAGUGAUUACUUCUGUUAGAAUUAUCUAAGGAAAACUGAAGCACCACAGUCAUGAAACAAGUUUGUAUUUCCCUUUUUAUUUAAUAUAAUCCUUAUUUUGGGAUACAGUCCAAUACUGUGAUUUCAUAAUAUCCCCUAACCUCUGUAUUCUGUUUUGUAAUUGAAGGAAAAGUGAUGACAGAAAAUCUUCCUAAUGUGAUCACAUUCUUAUAUGUAACUGUAAAAAGAAAAAUCCAAAUCUUGCUUCUUCAAAUUAGAGGAGUAGGUCCACUGCAUUUGGGCUGCAGAUUCCUACACAUGACCAGUCUUCAGUAGUGAACAAAAAUGGCAUCUAAAUCCCAAGUGACACUCUUAAGUACUUGGCAGCAGAAGGGCUCUUCUGAGGAAGAUUAAGUUAAUGGAAGCAUUUGGGUAACAUCUGCAUGACUCUUCGUCCUGGUAUGGCCAACUCACACUGCUGCAACACGUGACGGAGGAUUUCUUCGAUUAUCACUUAAGAACAAAACUGGCUGAAGUUCCUUUCCAGGCAUUCGUCAGACUGUAACGUCACCCUUUUAGAGGCAGUGAGCUGUGUCAUACAGUCUGAAGGAUUCUGGAAACUUGCUGCUGAACAGGAUUUAGAGUGGCUUAGGAGCAGAAAAUAUCUUCUCUUACUUGCUGUCUGUUGAGAAGCGACCCUGCUGAAACUCCUUUCUUGCUGCUACUCCUAACAUACCCACCAGGGAGAGGAAACUUUUGCCACAAGCCCUUCAGCAGAGAGCGGAUCCAUUGGGGUCUCAGUUACAUGGUGCGGUCUGGUGCCCAGUUUAACUUUGCUUCGUCUUUCCAGCGGUCCCAGAACUCUUCAAAAAUGUGGGUGGAGAUGCAUUACACAUGCUUACUAUGGUUACUCGCCAUGAAAAACAGUAUGAACGGCCAACACGGACUCCAGGUGGUGGAUCAACAUUAAUCAUAAUAGACCCAGGGGCAGACGAUUGGCAAGAUACCACAAGAAAUGGUUCUACAUCCAUCCCCUUGAACUCUGUUUCCUCCCAUUGGGGACAGGGAUAUGGAGGUUUUCUCUGCAUGGUUUCAUGAAGGAUAAUUUUUGGAGGAAAGUUGCACAGGAGGGGAAGAGGGUUCAGGAGCAAGACAGAUCUCCACGAAGUUAAAUUUAUCUAUUCACUGUGAACCCAGAGCCCGACAGUUGAUCAUGACAUAUGUAUCGGCCCAGAGGAAGGAAUAAGAGGACAGAUGGCAGAAAUUUCCCAAGGGAGAAAAGAGAAUUACUAGAGAAGAUCAGAAUCAGACCUGCACAGACUUGGUGUGAGAACCAUAUGUAUGGGAAGAAGUAACCUAGACCCAAGAUGCAAGUUCAUGGAUUGCAAGACAGGAGGCCAAACACUGAAAAAGCAUCUGACAAAAGUCUUCUUGAUACGCAUCGAAUCCUGACCUGGGCUGGAAAGUAAUUUUUGUGAACAUAUUUACAGAAUGAUGUGUAACAGAUCUAGCGAAGGCUGAAGGCUGGUAAUAGUGACUGAUGUAGUACCACAGAGAAAAGAAACCUGAACACUGCUCUCCGAGGAGGCCGAGCGAGGAGUGAGAAAUAAAGAUGUAAGAAUCAGUGCUUUGGAGGAUGCCCUGUUACUAGACGCUAAUGCAUGUGAGGAAUGCUAUCUUCAGCUGCACUGCUAGCGGAGUUCUGCAAAGUCCACUCCACGAAGACAUUUGUAGUCUGAACAUGGGACCUCUUUUGCUUCAACGCGCCACUGGCAGCAGCAGUAUCUCGCUUCCUCCUCUGCUGUCUGCAGACCAGAAACAUCGCUAUCUCCCAGCCACGGCAAACCGAAGAACCCAAUCAUCCUUAUCUGCUCUCAAAAAUGCACCGUGAGGAAUGUCCCAGAAAUGGUAACUUCCUGAUGGGACUCACAUGCUCCAUCCUAAUGUCUGUGGAUGGCUCCUGAAUUUUUAAGCAUUGAUAUGCUUUUUUUAGCAUUGAUAUGAAAGAUGUUCCCUUACAAAAGGAGUUCAUUAGUUGAGCAGUGCUCUUUCACGGCAUUGUAGGAAUCAGUGCUCCAGAUAAGAGCACUUUCUGGUCUGGUGCCUAUCUUCAGAUUUGCCAAGGGGGGCAACACUGUAUGGCAAUGGGAAGAUUCUUUAAAAGCCCUGAUUAGGCAUUAAUGCAGGUGCUAAUUUCUGCCUUUAAUGUACCUCUGAUAAAUUAUUAUCAUAGUCCAGUGAUUUGUAAGGUUUGAGGUAGGCUGUCUGGUGAGGGAUGGAUGAUUCCACUGGACAGUCCGCCUCAAACCUUAUAAAUUGCUGGAAGUAGGGUUUUGGAGCAGGAGCCUGGAUUUAUUCAUAAUUGUGUAUUUAUGUAUAUAUGUUUUUGGUUUAAUAGGUGCGAAGAGUAUAAAACAGGGUAAGCAAACUAUUGCUUCAAAGGGAAAUGUUUAAAAAAAGUUUGAGAACACCCGUUCUAAUUAUUGUAUAUGACAUUAAUUUUAAUUUCCAAUUAAACUCUGAGCUAGAGAAUAUCUUCUUACACACAUGACUUCUGCUGGUCUCCUGCACGUUAUGGGAAAGAGCAUGUUUUGCUAUUUUAAAAUUAUGUAUUUAAUGUCCUUGUAAAGUUUCAUUUCUCUCUCUUUAGUUCCAACCCAGGUAAGAAUUUCUUUUUUAAACCUCAUAAAUUAGGGAAAUUUCCUAUUAAUUCAUCUGGCAUAUCCUUUGCUAGCAAUGUUAGAUUUUUUUUUCUGUAUGUAUUGUAUAAUUGGUAGUUGACCCCACUUAGUUCUAACUGUCAGAAGAAGCAGAAACCCCUCCAGUUUCCAGAACCUGCUCCACAACUUUGCAGACUGUGUGUAUUCCAGUCACAGUCUCUAUCUGUACAAAAUUUGGAAUAAAUGUAUUGAAGUCAACAAAGCUGUUUUAGUUUAACAUAAUGUAAUAAUAGACUUUGUCCUCGAACUCCAUCUAUCAUUCCAGCACUCGUUAGGCAUUCUGGUUUUGUUCUUAGUAGGAGCCAUCAUAAAGAAAUUGAUUUCCCUCUGCUCCCUCAUCCAAUUUUUUGCAGGAGAACUCCAUGUUCAUUUGCCCAUUACGCAGCAUUUUGUGGGGUGAGAAGGAAAUAAGCCAAAAGAAAUCAUCAGAAGAAGUAGUUAUCAUGUUGGAUGAGAGACUGUUCUCGUUUAUUUUUGGCAUAAAUGCAGAACAGUUCCACUUCUCCCUGAGGAAUUUAUUUGCAUUUAGUUGGGUGAGACAAACUCCAGAUUGUACUCUGAACCCCAAAACUCACCUUCUCUACCCGUUUGCUGCACUGAGUUAUGAAAGAGACUUCUUAUGAUCUUGUAGCCUACGUGUUAUGAUUUCCAUUACCUCUGCUGUUCCUCCCCCUCCUUCAUUGCUAGUUGUGUAGCCCAAGUUGGGCAGCCAAGUAACGUGUCCUCCAUGGCUGUUAAAAUUACACUAUAAAUAGGCUGGGAAGCAAUAUAGUUGGAGCAAAGCAACCGGCACAGUCCUCUUUCCUCUCCCCAGUGGCAAAGUUGCUCAUGACCACAACGGACCAGGUCUCUGUUAUCCGGAGAGUGUAACCAUGGGGUUGCUUCUGCAUCUGGGUCCUUCACAGGGUUGCACAAAUCAUGGUGCGUUUCAGUAAGGAUGCCACCAUCAGUGUGCUGAACGUCAUACAACGGCAAUGACAGAAAACAAGAGUCCUCUCCUCCCGCACUGCUCCGUGCUGUGAACAAAACAGCGUUCUCGGUGGAGCCAAACUGAAAACUUUCUGCACAGUUGGCUCAGUUAGAAAUUUGCCGUGAGGAGUGCAUUAGCUGGUAAAUCUGUAAGCUGUGAAUUGCACAGAGACUUGACACGACAGUAGAUUAAGUGAUCCAGUAGAGGUUUUGCUUUACCUUUAUGCCACUCAUUGGCUUCCUGUUUAGCUGCAUCACAUGAAAUCUUCCCCGCCUCACCUUCAGGGCCUUACAGAUGUUGCCCUCACUGCCAUGUCACCUUCCUGUACUAGUUUACCAGCUUCAUAUCUGUCCCCUGCCUAGAACUUUGUGCUUUCUGUCAUGUAUUUUCUAUCCCUGGCACAAUUUUUCCCCAGAAAAUGGACCUGCUUCUGUAUGUCAGUAAUUCUUUGCCCACCUACCAUCCCUUUCUCGCCUUCUCCAUCUAGCAUCAUUAGGUCUUUCAGUAGUGAAAUAGCUUGUUUUGGUUUGUUGUGGAUGCUGUAUAUUUAUACACGUUGGAUGGGCUAAGAUCAGUACUAUUCUUGUGGCAUUGCAUUUUUGAAAGCUAUUUGUACAGGAUCCCUGUAGACCAUAAUAAAAAACGUCUCAAUAUAUCUUAAUUUCAAUGAUGUGAGGACAGUGGCUGAGACCAGUACUUCAUGGCAUGAUCCACGGCUAAAGUAAUUACAGCAGUCCCUUGCAGCUAAACAUGUAGAUAUUGUAGAUGAAAUGUUUAUGCAUUUGUGUGAUUCUGGGGAAAAAAAAAAAAUUCUGUUUGGAAAUUCUGAAUAAUGGUUUUGAUUAAAUUAAUAUUGCAGAGA